GAUGAACGCUAGCGAUAGGCUUAACACAUGCAAGUCGAGGGGCAGCAUGGUCUUAGCUUGCUAAGACUGAUGGCGACCGGCGCACGGGUGCGUAACGCGUAUGCAACUUGCCUCACAGAGGGGGAUAACCCGUCGAAAGACGGACUAAUACCGCGUACACUCCAUCUUGGGCAUCCAAGGUAGAGGAAAUGAAAUUCGCUGUGAGAUAGGCAUGCGUCCCAUUAGCUAGUUAGUGAGGUAACGGCUCACCAAGGCGACGAUGGGUAGGGGAACUGAGAGGUUGAACCCCCACACUGGUACUGAGACACGGACCAGACUCCUACGGGAGGCAGCAGUGAGGAAUAUUGGUCAAUGGGCGAGAGCCUGAACCAGCCAAGUCGCGUGAAGGAUGACUGUCUUAUGGAUUGUAAACUUCUUUUAUACGGGAAUAACAAGAGUCACGUGUGACUCCCUGCAUGUACCGUAUGAAUAAGCAUCGGCUAACUCCGUG
rnacentral:rRNA from 1 species